GUGUCGUGUCCGUGUCGUGUCGCGUGUCCGUGUCCGUGCAACAUAGGGAAGAGUUAUCUCUUAGUCUUAGGUCUCCAGUGGAUCUAUGACAUUCAGUCUUCAUCUAUUUUGGCUUCUCAAUCUCAUACUGGACUGUGUGUUCAUUCCAUUUUUCAUUCUCCAGAUAAAUCUCAUAAAAUUUCACAUCCCCUCCAGCUCUAACUGUCAACACAGCAGUGCUUACAGUCCCACAGCGUCCCUAUAUAUGUACAUGAGAGAGAGAGAGAGAGAGAGAGAGAGAGAGAGAGAGAGAGUAUGUUAAACAUUUUCAAACAUGUUGUGGAUGUGAAACUUGGAAAUAAAGUAAGGGGAAAUUAAAAAUCAGUGGAAAGACGAAAAAAAAUUGCAAAAUCAUGGAAAAGUUUAUCACUUCAAUUAUUAAAGUUGAUGAGGUUACCACUAAAUUGCAAUUUAGAUUUGGUCUUUCAACCGAAUUGCAAUUUCCCCAAUAAAGUAAUGAUACCUACCAGUCAAUGAAAAUGGAGCUUAGAUUUAAUUCCCAAUCAAGCAAAAAAAAUGCCAGGCAACUUACUUUCAUCAGCUUUAACUGUGUCUCUCAUUAGUUUUCUACCAUCUCAUUCAUUGGAAUUUCACUUUCAGCAUAUUCACUACGCAGUUCCCUAAAACUCUGUUCCAAACGCUGUUCCUGAAAGGGAAAAAAAGGCAUUAUCGCAAGUUAAUUAAUCAUUCACAUAUUGACUAUUUCCAUGUUUCAAUGUACAUCUCUCUCUCUCUCUCUUUGAAUUCACAUUAACAUGUACACAUAUAUGUUCUUUUACAGUAGCUAUUCUUAAUUUGGACCAUGAUCUUCUGUUCUGAAAUUAAUUGUCUCCUGAAAGAAUCUCGAGUCAGGAUUUUGAGUUUGAAUAGUAGAUUUGCUGUUGACCUUAUGUCCCCCUCUGGCCUGUUGGAGACAUAAACCAGGUCUCCAAGGAAAGAUCAGCUAUUAUCAGGUUAAAUCCAUUAUACUGAUGUGCUUCUUCAGCCACUUCCUCUGCAAAUCCUCUGAGACUCUUCGUGCUCUGCAACCACACAGUAUGUUGCAGUACUAUUCUAUUGCUGAGAAUCAAUGAAAUGCAGAAAGAGAAAGAGGACUUUGGUAAUGGUACCUCCACGAAACGCAGCGGGAGGUCUCCUCUGCUUUUGGCAUCGGGAAGGGCAUGAAGCUCCAUCACGUUGGUGAGGAAAGCCACUCUCACUCUUCUCAAACAAGCCAGCCAUGUUCCCCCUGCAACCUCAUCUCUCCCUCCUAGUAUCUCACUGCCUUCCCACCACGCUGCCAGCUUUGUAGGCCUUCACAAACAACAUUCAAAUGAGAGAGAGAGAGAGAGAACGCAAAACUAGACUUGCCUGUUGUGGUAUUCAUCUCUGUUGAACAAGAGGAGAAAUGGGUACAGAGGGUGAGCUUGCCAAACAAACACUGAUACACACGAAGUAUGCCAAGUGUAAGUCCUAACUUGCUGAGAGAUUUUAGAAGUUUGGCUUUGCACAAAUGAUGAAAUUUGAAGAACUUUUUUAUUUUUAUUUUUUAUGAUAUGAAAAAAAGAGAAUUGUCUGGGAAGAAUGGAGAAGAUUUUUAUAUGAACAACAGUUACUUUUUUGACUGUUUUGUUUUGGCAUUAAGAUUGUGUUUAGAUUAACAAUUUGAGAGGAUUUGUGAAGUGAAAAGAAAAAAGAAAGGGAAAUUUUCAUAAA